rnacentral:lncRNA from 1 species
CAAGGAGAACAGGUGCCUGACCUGGGCCCGAAGGGUUUGUACUUUGUUGUAAAUCCCUAGGCUUCAGGAAGAUGACUGCCUCCCCCAAGCACUUCCUAAGUGCGGGCCACUGGGCUUCAAACCGGAUGGGUUCCUGAGAGGCAGCUGCUCCCGUCCUAGGGAUGCAGGGGCCGAUCUGCAGGGGCUGGAAGUGACUGGCCCAAUUAGCUGCUGUGCUUGUAGCCACUGGGCUGUAAGGCUUCCCUCAGGCUCCAGCCGCCGCAGAGACGCCAGACCCUUACAGGGCAUCUGUGUGGGAGCAUCACCCCUAUUUCAGAUGUGGACAGUAGGAGUGGGAAUUGACUGGGCCCAGAGGCAGUGAUGUACAGAGGGAGCUGGCUUUGAACCCAGGCACGUGCACUUUCGUCAGUGGGUCAUCAUGCUGGGACAGUGACUGACUGUACAAGAGCACAGACAAGGACUAGCAAUUUGGAUCGCUGCAGCUUCCUGGGCCUGGGUGAGGUCUGCACCUGAGGAAGCCGCGACAGCAAGUGCCCUGGGCCGCCAGCCUGGUGGGAAGUAGGGCAGGACGAAAACAGGAACUUGAAGUGGGUCAUGCUCGUUGAACUGGAAACACUGAGUUGAUAUCUGGGUUAUUUCCCCUGACUGUCGCAAAACACACUUAGACAAACCCUGCAUUUAUUCCUUUAGAGUUGGGAAUGGGAAGAGUGUGUGUGUGUGUGUGUGUGUGUUGGGGGGUGAGGGGACUACUGCCCAGGCUCUACCUUUGUGGGAGGAUCCUCCCCUUCCUUCCACCAACCCCACUUGGGAUGUCCCAGGCUGGUGGUGAACUCGUUGGGCAGGUCAGUACUGUGUUUAUAAAGCGUGUCCUCAGCACACCCUGCAAAGUGCCUGGCAAAACAUAGGCAUGCCACAGAUACUUUAAAAAAAUGUUUUUCCUGCUUACAAAAGUAAGUCAUGUUGAUUUAAUAAUAUCGAGAAAACACAGAAAAGCAUACACAAAAAGUCACUCUUCGACUUAGACGUGAUUAAUAUUUGGUAUUUGUGUAUAUGUAAAUAUGCAUGAAAGAAAAGCUGAGAAAACAUACUGCAGAGUGUUUUCCACGCUACUAAUUCCUCUCCUAAGACAUGAUUUUUAAAAAUCGAUUUUAUCAAGGUCUAAAUUGCAUGCAAUAAAACUCAGACAUUUUAAGGCACAUAGUUGGUUAAAUUUUGAUAAUUGUGUGCACCUGUGUAAACAUCACCCGGAUCGCAGCAGCCCAGCACCUUCUCCUGGGCCCUGGGCUGUUUUCUCACCAGGGACAGGCACGAUGCUAAUAGAGUUUCAUGUAAAUGGAAUCAUGCCAUGUGCACGUCUUUGUGCCCGGCUGCUUUAUCUCAUGUAAAUGGAAUCAUGCCAUGUGCACGUCUUUGUGCCCGGCUGCUUUAUCUCAUGUAAAUGGAAUCAUGCCAUGUGCACGUCUUUGUGCCCGGCUGCUUUAUCUCAUUUUGUUUUUUUUAAGAUUCAUCAUGUCAGCAGUUCCUUCUUUCUGGUUACUAAGUCAUAUUGCAUUGUGUGGGUGCACUAGUGUAUCCGUUCACCUGCUGAUGGGCUUCUGGACAGUUUGCAGUCCAUUCACCUUGACUAUGUGGAUAAAGACACCCUGACCCUUUAGGGGCUAUGCUUUUGCUCCUCUUGGGUGCAUAUUUAAGAGUAGAAAGCUGGAUUAUAGGAAAAUGUAUAUAUAUAUAUAUAUAUAUGUAUGUAUGUAUAUAUAACAUAUUUUAUUAUAUUUUUGGAGUCUUCCUCUGUUUCCCAGGCUGGAGUGAAGUGGCAAGGUCUCGGCUCACUGCAACCUCCACCUCCCGGGUUCAAGUGAUUCUCCUGCCUUAGCCUCCUGAGUAGCUGGGAUUAUGGGCACCUGCCACCAGCUAAUUUUUGUAUUUUUAGUAGAGACAGGGUUUCACCAUGUUGGCCAGGCUAGUCUCGAACUCCUGACCUCAGAUGAUCUGCCUGCCUCGGCCUCCCAAAGUGUUGGGAUUACAGGCGUUAGCCACUGCACCUGGCUGUAAAUUCUUACAAGAAAAUAGAGGACAGUUUAUAAUAUUGGAAUGGGAAAAGGCUCUCCUAACCAAGAUGGAAUCCAGAAAGAAUAAAGAAAAAGCUAGAUUAUUUGACGAAAUAAUUUUAAAAUUUCUUUUGUAAGAUAUCAUAAAUUUAAAAAAAAAGAUAAGGGCCGGGCGUGGUGGCUCACACCUGUAAUCCCAGCACUUUGGGAGGCCGAGGCGGG